GCAGUGGUAGCUCAGUGGUAGAAUUCUCGCCUUGCAUGUGAGUCUCGUGCAGGAGACCCGGGUGUGAUUCCUGGCCAGUGCG
rnacentral:tRNA from 1 species